rnacentral:rRNA from 1 species
UACGGAGGGAGCUAGCGUUGUUCGGAAUUACUGGGCGUAAAGCGCACGUAGGCGGCUAUUCAAGUCAGAGGUGAAAGCCCGGGGCUCAACCCCGGAACUGCCUUUGAAACUAGAUAGCUAGAAUCUUGGAGAGGUCAGUGGAAUUCCGAGUGUAGAGGUGAAAUUCGUAGAUAUUCGGAAGAACACCAGUGGCGAAGGCGACUGACUGGGCAAGUAUUGACGCUGAGGUGCGAAAGCGUGGGGAGCAAACAGG